AUGAAGGAGGAGAAAGAAACAAUAGUAACGUGGUCCCGGGCAUCUAGCAUUCUACCCACAAUGGUUGGCCAUACAAUCGCGAUUCAUAAUGGAAAGUAA
rnacentral:rRNA from 1 species